GGGGAAUAUUGCGCAAUGGGGGAAACCCUGACGCAGCAAUACCGCGUGAGUGAAGAAGGUUUUCGGAUCGUAAAGCUCUGUUAUUGGGGAAGAAAAAAAGACGGUACCCAAGAAGAAAGUCCCGGCUAACUACGUGCCAGCAGCCGCGGUAAUACGUAGGGGACAAGCGUUGUCCGGAUUUACUGGGCGUAAAGGGCACGCAGGCGGUAUUUUAAGUUGGAUGUGAAAGCCCCGGGCUCAACCUGGGAACUGCAUCCAAAACUGGCGAGCUAGAGUAUGGCAGAGGGUGGUUGAAUUUCCUGUGUAGCGGUGAAAUGCGUAGAUAUAGGAAGGAACACCAGUGGCGAAGGCGACCACCUGGGCUAAUACUGACACUGAGGUGCGAAAGCGUGGGGAGCAAACA
rnacentral:rRNA from 1 species